GGGGAAUUUUGGACAAUGGGCGCAAGCCUGAUCCAGCCAUGCCGCGUGCGGGAAGAAGGCCAUCGGGUUGUAAACCGCUUUUGUCAGGGAAGAAACGGUCCGCGCUAAUACCGUGGGCUAAUGACGGUACCUGAAGAAUAAGCACCGGCUAACUACGUGCCAGCAGCCGCGGUAAUACGUAGGGUGCAAGCGUUAAUCGGAAUUACUGGGCGUAAAGCGUGCGCAGGCGGUUAUGCAAGACAGAUGUGAAAUCCCCGGGCUCAACCUGGGAACCGCAUUUGUGACUGCAUGACUUGAGUACGGUAGAGGGGGAUGGAAUUCCGCGUGUAGCAGUGAAAUGCGUAGAUAUGCGGAGGAACACCGAUGGCGAAGGCAAUCCCCUGGACCUGUACUGACGCUCAUGCACGAAAGCGUGGGGAGCAAAC
rnacentral:rRNA from 1 species